rnacentral:lncRNA from 1 species
AGUGUGGGUGGCUCCUCACCAGGAUGGGGUCCUCAGCCCGAGGUUACUUUAGGCUGAAUACACAGGUGAUCCCAUAAGGUGAACCUGGAGGGAAACCUGGAGGCUGGGCCCAUCCUGCCACCUGCCUUCAGAGGCUGAGGCAGGAGGAGUGUCUGGGCUACAGGAUGAUGAGUUCAAGGCCCGACUGGGCAACUUGGUGAACCAGUCUCAAAAUGAAAAUAAGAAACCAACGGUGUGGCUCAGUGGUAGAACACUCGCCUAGCAUGUGUGAAGAAGUUGGAAGUGAGUGGGUGUCCCUUGUUCCUAUCCAUGUCCUCACCCUUAGUUUCUUAAAUGCUGUUAUCUUGAAGGUUAAUGUCACUGUUUAGACACAUUAUCUAGCAGAGCUGUCUCCUUCAAUAGAGAGAUACCUCAGGCAGAGGGCCAUGUAGGGGGACGAGUGGCCAUGUAAGGUCCGCAAUGCUGGACCCUGAAGAGAAGGAACCUGUUCCAAGCCUCACCUCCUUAGAGUCCUCCCACUCCCCAGAACCUCAGCUCUAAGAGGCGUGCUUGGAAAUUUCAAGACAGGACAGCAGAGCCAGAUUUGCCCCCACAAACUUGGUGCAGGGUCUUUGCCGACUGCCCAGGCUGUGCACCACAAGACCAGCCCUGCAGCCAAGCCUGGAAAACCACAGGACCUCAUGCUAAGUUAGAAAAGCAGCUUCCAUCUUGUUUCUAUAAUGACAUUACUGCUGUUAUUAAAAACAGACCCAGGCAUAGAGACAGACUCAGUGGAGGCUUGCAGGCUGCUGGCAUGGGUAGCCCCUAGGAGACCUUUUACCCGCCAAUUCCCACCGUCCACACCUGCUACCCUCUCCACAAAACCCCAGGGAAAAGCAAGAACCGGGAACCAAUGAGGGAAUACACCAGAACUUGCUCACGAGGAGGAAAAGACACAAAGCUACCAUUUGUGCCUGCUCAGCUCCAGCUGAGGGGACCUGGGUGUGAUGGUAGCACCUGUAGCCCCAGAGACGUGGGAAGGGAGGUCAAGAACGUGAGGUCAGCUUCCACCACACAUCAUGAUUCGGAGGCCAGCCUGGGCUACAUGAGUCAGGGCAGGCUGAGGCAAGGGUUUAGGGAAACUAGAGUGGGGACUUCCUUCCCCACAUUAACUGCAGUAUCUACACAGCACUUGGAUCACUGAGCAUUUUGAACUAACCCCUGCUCCCCUUCCGGAAGCUGCUGCGAGAUGAAAUUACCAUGGGACCCAUCCGUGGAGCCACUACCUGAGGUCUCUUUCUAGGUGUACAGAUGAGAAGGUGGACCUGAAACUUCACCACACUGACAGCUAAUUAGCAACACUCGGCUGUCGAAGCCAUUCUCCCCCAGACAGCCGAGGUCUCUGUGUCAACAGGAAGCUCUGAGUUUUCAUCUCAACAACUCAUAAGUCAGGCUGACCCAAAGACAAUAAAAGAAGUCAUGGCACC